UUGCAGUUAAAAAGCUCGUAGUUGGAUUUCUGUGGGGACGGAGCGGCCGGCCGCUACUAGCGGUUCGAGCUAGCGCUUUCCCUACAUCCUGCCGCGAACCGCGCUACCAUUAGUUUGGUGGCGCCGGGGAUCGGCUCGUUUACUUUGAGAAAAAUAGAGUGUUCAAAGCAGGCCACACGCCUUGAAUAAGUUAGCAUGGAAUAAUAACUAAGGACUUCGGUUCUAUUUUGUUGGUGUUCGGGACUGAAGUAAUGAUUGAUAGGGACAGUUGGGGCGGUCCGUAUCCAAAGCGAGAGGUGAAAUUCUUAGACCUUCGGAAGACGAACAGCUGCGAAAGCGUUCCGCAAGGAUGUUCCCUUUGAUCAAGAACGAAAGUUGGGGGAUCGAAGACGAUCAGAUACCGUCGUAGUCUCAACUAUAAACUAUACCAGCUAGGGAUCGGCCAACGUUACUUUAUCCGACUUGGUCGGCACCUUAUGAGAAAUCAAAGCAUCUGGGUUCCGGGGGGAGUAUGGUCGCAAGGCUGAAACUUAAAGGAAUUGACGGAAGGGCACCACCAGCCGUGGAGCCUGUGG
rnacentral:rRNA from 1 species